GGAUGUGACAGCGAUCUGGCUGCAACAUCUGUCACCCCAUUGAUUGCCCAGGUUGAUUUGGCUGAUCUGGCUGGCUAGGCGGGUGUCCCCUUCCUCCCUCCAUGUUCCAUGUGCGUCCCUCCCGAAGCUGCUUGUUCAGUGGAAGAGGACAACCACCCCUGAGAAGGGAGGCCGUUCCUUGGUCAAGAGUACACGAGUAGCUGCGCUCCCCUGCUAGAACCUCCAAACAAACUCUGAAGAAAACUGCAAAUUAAGAAAACACCAAUCAAGGUCAGGGGGAAUGUUAAUACUAUGAGUCACAAGUUUGAUGAAGUGCACACCA
rnacentral:snRNA from 1 species